GGGGAGAUCGCUCAGUGGUAGGGCAUUUGACUACAGAUCAAGAGGUCCCUGGUUCAAGUCUGGGUGUCCCCU